UACGUAAGGUGCGCGCGUUAAUCGGAAUUACUGGGAGUAAAGCGUGCGCAGGCGGCUCUUCAAGUCAGAUGUGAAAGCCCCGGGCUUAACCUGGGAAUGGCGUUUGAAACUGGAGGGCUGGAGUGUGGCAGAGGGAGGUGGAAUUCCACGUGUAGCAGUGAAAUGCGUAGAGAUGUGGAGGAACACCGAUGGCGAAGGCAGCCUCCUGGGCCAACACUGACGCUCAUGCACGAAAGCGUGGGGAGCAAACAGG
rnacentral:rRNA from 1 species